UACGUAGGGGGCAAGCGUUGUCCGGAAUUAUUGGGCGUAAAGAGCGCGUAGGCGGUCCGAUAAGUCGGCUGUGAAAGUCAAGGGCUCAACCCUUGAAAGCCGGCCGAUACUGUCGGACUAGAGUCCGGAAGAGGCAAGUGGAAUUCCCGGUGUAGCGGUGAAAUGCGCAGAUAUCGGGAGGAACACCAAUGGCGAAGGCAGCUUGCUGGGACG
rnacentral:rRNA from 1 species